CAGCCAGGUACUAUUCUAGAUUGUCUUGUGAUAUUUACAAUCUAGGAGAAGGCAGGAGAGAGAACUAAGAACAGAGAGCAUGUUCUGAGAUGUCUGCUGUGUUUGCAGACUUAGAUUUUUGGCUGGACUAUUGGCUUGGGAUAGAUGAAAAUCAUUCCUUGUAUCCCCUGAUCUUAAAGUCAAGACUGAACCAGCCUCCAGAUGCAAGCCUUCAUGGGGCUUCAGAUACCAUGAGGAAUGGGCGUCCCUGCAAUAUUGUCAUGGCUGUCAAAAGUGUUAUUGGAGCUGGACGUGAGGCUUCUCCCCAGCACCAGCAUUCCAUGAAGGCAGCCCUUUUCUAGAUGGAGAAAACAGAACCUGAAGGCACCCGUUUCCCUAAACUGCUCUCACUCAUGUAAACUCCUGGAGGGCAGAGCCAUGCCUGCCAUUUUCAUCAUUGCAUUACCACCACCCAGCACAGUGCCUGGUACAAAAGAGUUGCUCAAUAAAUAAAUCAGGAUGAAUGGACAAAUACACGGAUAGGCACUUUGAACUACAGAUGAGCUUAAAUACUUUGUGUUUUUCUUAGUCAAACAUGUGCAAUUAAGCAUGUGAUAAAUUAUAUGAUGACCACA
rnacentral:lncRNA from 1 species